GGUCCAGAGAGGGCGCUGGCUUGACUUAACACUGGGGCCCUCUCUCAUUCUAUCGCGUCAGUUUAUUUUUUUUGAAAACAGGGAGUUUUAUUCGGUCCGGAGGAGGGAGGCCAGAGCGAAACAAAAAACCCGGACGUGAAAGCUUCGAAAGGGGGUGGGUUGGGGGGGUGGUGGAGAGACAGCCUUUGCCUUGAGAAGAAACCAUUCACCUCCUCUUCCCCCCCAAACCUUGUCAGGGACAUUUCCCCACACCCUCUUGUGUCUUUUUUUUUGCUUCUCUCUCUCUGUGCCUAAGGAUUUCUGUUGUUAGGGAGGGGGGUUUAAAAAAAAGGAUAUCAGGAACUGGGAUCUCUCUCUCUCUCUCUCCCAUCCACCCACAACGCCAAUCAGGUUGCUGCUGAUGUCUUGGAUUUGGAGGGAGAUUGCACAGUGAGAAUACAGACAGACGACAUCCACCCGAAGUGAAUCUGCCCGAGGUUUGGUUGACGGUGAAUGUGGGGGUGACCUUACACUCGGUCAAAGAGGUCAGCAAACGUGCAGCAUUUCCCUUAGGAAACCGAUCUGAGCUGCACAGUGCAACUGGCAAUAACUUCCCCAGGAAACCACCUCCAUGUAAAUAUAUCGGUGUCUGUAGGGCUGCUGCUGCUGUCGAAGUC